rnacentral:rRNA from 1 species
UACGGAGGAUGCAAGCGUUAUCCGUAUUUAUUGGGUUUAAAGGGUGCGCAGGUUGUUUGAUAAGUCAGUGGUGAAAGUCUGUCGCUUAACGGUAGGAUUGCCAUUGAUACUGUUGGACUUGAAUAUGGAUGAGGUAGGCGGAAUGUGUAGUGUAGCGGUGAAAUGCAUAGAUAUUACACAGAACACCGAUUGCGAAGGCAGCUUACUAAUCCAUCAUUGACGCUGAGGCACGAAAGCGUGGGGAUCAAACAGGA